rnacentral:antisense_RNA from 1 species
UGUAAGCAUUGAGUGUACGUUGGCACAAAAUGGAACGUACACAGUCCUGUUUAUCAAACUGGAUAAUACCGAUCAACUCAUCCUCAGCAAAGCGCGCCAGCGCAUCACUCAGACCCGAUUUGACUCCUCGCGGCAAAUCGCAUUGGGUAAUAUCGCCAUUAACAAUGACUGUCACAUUCUCACCCAAACGUGUC